ensembl:snRNA U6 U6 spliceosomal RNA
GUGCUCGUUCCGGCAGCACAUAUACUACAACUGCAACGACACAGAGAAAACUAGCAUGGCCCCUGCGCAAGGAUAACACGUAAAUUCGUGAAGCGGUCCAUGUAUUU